UACGAAGGGUGCAAGCGUUACUCGGAGUCACUGGGCGUAAAGCGUGCGUAGGCGGUUCGUUAAGUCUGCUGUGAAAGUCCAGGGCUCAACCCUGGGAUGCCGGUGGAUACUGUCGAGCUCGAGUCCGGAAGAGGCUAAUGGAAUUCCGGGUGUAGCGGUGGAAUGCGUAGAGAUCCGGAAGAACACCGGUGGCGAAGGCGGUUAGCUGGGCAGUUGCUGACACUGAGGCGCGACAGCGUGGGGAGCAAACAGG
rnacentral:rRNA from 1 species